rnacentral:rRNA from 1 species
GUGCCAGCCUCUUAUGUUGGCUUUUCCCGUGUCUAAAAUACUGGUGGAAUAAAGGGACGGGCAAUAUGGGGGCCACCCGCCCCGGUAUCACCGGUCGCCCAAGGGGGGAUCGUGAUUAUUGGGUCUAAAGGGUCCGUACCCGGUUUGGUCAUUCCUCCGGGAAAUCUGAUAUCUCAUCUAUGAGGCUUUCGGGAGAUACUGCCAGACUUGGAACCGGGAGAGGUAAGAGGUACUACGGGGGUAGGAGUGAAAUCUUGUAAUCCCUGUGAGACCACCUGUGGAGAAGGCUUCUUACCAAAACGGGUUCCACGGAGAGAGACAAAAUCUGGGAGCACAAACCAGAUUAUAUACCCGGGUACUCCCAUCCGUAAACUAUGCUCUCUAUGUGUCAAACAUGGCGCGACCGUGUCUGGUGCCGCAGGAAAUCCGUGAACCGAGCCACCUGGAAAAUACUGCCGCAAGGCUGAAACUUAAAAGAAUUGGCGGGAGAGCAC